rnacentral:rRNA from 1 species
AUGAACAUCCUACAAGACCUUAAGCAUCUCAAGCACAUUAGCUUGCCGGCGAGGCUUAUCAUUUGCAAGUGCCUUCUCAUAGUGAUUGGCCUUAUUGUAUUGAGAGCAAUUAUCUCCCCUUUUCUUGCCAUUAGCUCGUCUGAAAAGAGUUUUUAUGAGUCACCAACCCUUGACUUGUUCCCUGGAGUUAGGAAAGGUAAGUUUGUUGAGGUCCCGCAGAUUAUAUGGGGAUUGAACAAUCAGAAGAUUGCAUUUGCCAGAGCAUGCUUGACGGCAAAAUUCCUGAACCGUUCUCUACUCAUGCCAAGUCUGAGUGCUUCGCUUUUCUACAAAGAGGUUGACUUGCUGCAGCCUAUUGCUUUCGACAAGGUAUUUGACCUUAACAAGUUCAAUGCCCGCUGUCAUGGGUUUGUAAGAGUAGCUCGGUAUUCAGAAGUUUCAAAUCGUACCGAGCCUUUCAAACUUCAAAAGGGCAGUGGUAGGAGGUGGACAGUGGAGAGAGAUUUGGAUCAACUGCAACAAUCCAGAUUGGGGGAGGCCGAUGGCUUUGAAGUGAUUCAUGUCACUGGGAAGCAUCCAUUUCUAUGGCCUGAUCAUUGGCCAGUGAAAGACUAUGCCAGGAUCUUUGAUUGCCUUGCUGUAGCUCCUGAGAUAGAUACUGAAGUUGUCAGGGUCAUAUCCAAGAUUAAAGAUGCAGGGAAAAAAGCAAGACAUGAUGCUGCCGUUUCUCAUAAUAAGAAGAGGAUAGAUGGUUUGAAAAAUCUUCCUGUGCAGUACAUUGCUGUUCACAUGAGAAUAGAGAAAGAUUGGAUGAUUCAUUGCAAGAAGUGGGAGCAGCGGUCCAAUUUAAAGGAAAUUUGCAGCAGCAAAGGAGAGAUCAUUCAUAAGGUCUCACAGAUCACUGACCUACGUCGCCCGGUUGUAGUAUAUCUUGCAGUAGCCGACAGCCUUCUAGAAGAUGAUUCAGUAACCAGUGGUUGGAGAGUUGGUAUGGUUGCUUAUGAGAAGAAGAAACUUGGAGUUACUGACAUAUACGAGAAGCAGCCUUACCUUAUAAAGUCUGCCAUCGACUUUGAGGUAUGCGCAAGAGCGGAUGUGUUUGUUGGCAAUAGUUUCUCAACAUUUUCCAACCUUGUAGUAUUGUCUAGAACAGAAAGGUUAUACAAGUUAGGGAAGGCAAGCUCAUGUGGUGAGGAUGUUGGGCUGUCGUCCUAUGCGUACAAUGUCAUCGGAGAUGAUGGCGGGCCACAGAAAUGGAUGACAGAUAUGUUGGACACAAGCCUUCAGCGCAUAAGUUACGGAACAAAUAACGUCUCCUGCCACUGA